GCAUGGCUAGGGGGUGGAAAGAUUUUUUGGUCAAGGAUGGACUCGCGGCCUAUCAGCUUGUUGGUGAGGUAAUGGCUCACCAAGGCGACGACGGGUAGCCGGCCUGAGAGGGUGACCGGCCACACUGGGACUGAGACACGGCCCAGACUCCUACGGGAGGCAGCAGUGGGGAAUAUUGCACAAUGGGCGCAAGCCUGAUGCAGCAACGCCGCGUGAGGGAUGACGGCCUUCGGGUUGUAAACCUCUUUUAGUAGGGAAGAAGCGAAAGUGACGGUACCUGCAGAAAAAGCACCGGCUAACUACGUGCCAGCAGCCGCGGUAAUACGUAGGGUGCAAGCGUUGUCCGGAAUUAUUGGGCGUAAAGAGCUCGUAGGCGGUUUGUCGCGUCUGCUGUGAAAACUGGAGGCUCAACCUCCAGCCUGCAGUGGGUACGGGCAGACUAGAGUGCGGUAGGGGAGAUUGGAAUUCCUGGUGUAGCGGUGGAAUGCGCAGAUAUCAGGAGGAACACCGAUGGCGAAGGCAGAUCUCUGGGCCGUAACUGACGCUGAGGAGCGAAAGCGUGGGGAGCGAACAGGAUUAGAUACCCUGGUAGUCCACGCCGUAAACGUUGGGAACUAGAUGUGGGGGCCAUUCCACGGUCUCCGUGUCGCAGCU
rnacentral:rRNA from 1 species